ensembl:lncRNA
GUCUGAUGUCCCCCCACUGAGAGACUGUCCUUCCAUCAGUCUGAUGUCCCCCACUGAGAGACUGUCCUUCCAUCAGUCUGAUGUCCCCCCACUGAGAGACUGUCCUUCCAUCAGUCUGAUGUCCCCCACUGAGAAGACUGUCCUUCCAUCAGUCUGAUGUCCCCCCACUGAGAGACUGUCCUUCCAUCAGUCUGAUGUCCCCCCACUGAGAGGCAGUCUGAUGUCCCCCCACUGAGAGACUGUCCUUCCAUCAGUCUGAUGUCCCCCACUGAGAGACUGUCCUUCCAUCAGUCUGAUGUCCCCCCACUGAGAGGCAGUCCUUCCAUCACUCUGAUGUCCCCCCACUGAGAGGCAGUCCUUCCAUCACUCUGAUGUCCCCCACUGAGAGACAGUCCUUCCAUCAGUCUGAUGUCCCCCACUGAGAGACCAUCCUUCCAUCAGUCUGAUGUCCCCCCACUGAGAGACAGUCCUUCCAUCAGUCUGAUGUCCCCCCACUGAGAGGCAGUCUGAUGUCCCCCCACUGAGAGGCAGUCUGAUGUCCCCCCCACUGAGAGGCAGUCCCCCCCACUGAGAUAUGCAGAUAUGUGUAGAUAUAUGAAGCUAUAGGUUUACAUGUAUAGAUACAGUUGAAGUCGGAAGUUUACAUACACCUGAGCCAAAUACAUUUAAACUCAGUUUUUCACAAUUCCUGACAUUUAAUCCUGGUAAAAAAAACUCCCUGUCUUAGGUCAGUUAGGAUCACCACUUUAUUUUAAGAACGUGAAAUGUCAGAAUAAUAGUUGAGUGAUUUUAUUUCAGCUUUUUAUUUCUCUCAUCACAUUCCCAGUGGGUCAGAACUUUACAUACAAAUUUAGUGUUUUUGGUAGCAUUGCCUUUAAAUUGUUUAACUUGGGUCUAAUGUUUCGGGUAGCCUUCCACAAGUUUCCCACAAUAAGUUGGGUGAAUUUUGGCCCAUUCCUCCUGGUGUAACUGAGUCCGGUUGGUUGGCCUCCUUGCUCGACAUGCUUUUUCAGUUCUGCCCACAAAUCUUCUGCAGGUUUGAGGUCAGGACUUUGUGAUGUCCACUCCAACACUUUCACUUUGUUGUCCUUAAGCCAUUUUGCCACAACUUUGGAAGUACGCUUGGGGUCAUUGUCCAUUUGGAAGACCCAUUUGCAACCAAGCUUUAACUUCCUGACUGAUGUCUUGAGAUGUUG